GUCUCUUGGAGUGUGGCCCUUGAGCCGUGGCUUUCGGAGCUAACGCGUUAAGUAGACCGCCUGGGGAGUACGGUCGCAAGAUUAAAACUCAAAUGAAUUGACGGGGGCCCGCACAAGCGGUGGAGCAUGUGGUUUAAUUCGAUGCAACGCGAAGAACCUUACCUACUCUUGACAUCCAGAGAACUUUCCAGAGAUGGAUUGGUGCCUUCGGGAACUCUGAGACAGGUGCUGCAUGGCUGUCGUCAGCUCGUGUUGUGAAAUGUUGGGUUAAGUCCCGCAACGAGCGCAACCCUUAUCCUUGUUUGCCAGCGAGUAAUGUCGGGAACUCCAGGGAGACUGCCGGUGAUAAACCGGAGGAAGGUGGGGACGACGUCAAGUCAUCAUGGCCCUUACGAGUAGGGCUACACACGUGCUACAAUGGCGCAUACAGAGGGCGGCCAACUUGCGAAAGUGAGCGAAUCCCAAAAAGUGCGUCGUAGUCCGGAUUGGAGUCUGCAACUCGACUCCAUGAAGUCGGAAUCGCUAGUAAUCGUGGAUCAGAAUGCCACGGUGAAUACGUUCCCGGGCCUUGUACACACCGCCCGUCACACCAUGGG
rnacentral:rRNA from 1 species